rnacentral:rRNA from 1 species
GAUGAACGCUGGCGGCGUGCCUAAUACAUGCAAGUCGAGCGAACAGACGAGGAGCUUGCUCCUCUGACGUUAGCGGCGGACGGGUGAGUAACACGUGGAUAACCUACCUAUAAGACUGGGAUAACUUCGGGAAACCGGAGCUAAUACCGGAUAAUAUAUUGAACCGCAUGGUUCAAUAGUGAAAGACGGUUUUGCUGUCACUUAUAGAUGGAUCCGCGCCGCAUUAGCUAGUUGGUAAGGUAACGGCUUACCAAGGCAACGAUGCGUAGCCGACCUGAGAGGGUGAUCGACCACACUGGAACUGAGACACGGUCCAGACUCCUACGGGAGGCAGCAGUAGGGAAUCUUCCGCAAAGGGCGAAAGCCUGACGGGGCAACGCCGCGUGAAUGAUGAAGGUCUUCGGAUCGUAAAACUCUGUUAUUAGGGAAGAACAAAUGUGUAAGUAACUAUGCACGUCUUGACGGUACCUAAUCAGAAAGCCACGGCUAACUACGUG